UCCCUUUUAGGGGCAGUCUCGUUAGAGAGUGUAACUAACGACAAGGGUUGCGCUCGUUGCGGGACUUAACCCAACACCUCACGGCACGAGCUGACGACAACCAUGCAGCACCUGUGCAAGCUCCCUUGCGGGUCCCUUCCCUUUCGGGUCAGUACCACCUACAUGUCAAGCCCUGGUAAGGUUCUUCGCUUAGCAUCGAAUUAAACCACACGCUCCGCUGCUUGUGCGGGCCCCCGUCGAUUCCUUUGAGUUUUAACCUUGCGGUCGUACUCCCCAGGCGGGAUGCUUAACGGGUUACCUACGGCUCACAGGGGGUCGAUACCCCGCAAACCUAGCAUCCAUCGUUUAGGGCGUGGACUAC
rnacentral:misc_RNA from 1 species